rnacentral:rRNA from 1 species
CGCGAGUGAAGAAGGUUUUCGGAUCGUAAAGCUCUGUUGUAAGUCAAGAACGUGUGUGAGAGUGGAAAGUUCACACAGUGACGGUAGCUUACCAGAAAGGGACGGCCAACUACGUGCCAGCAGCCGCGGUAAUACGUAGGUCCCGAGCGUUGUCCGGAUUUAUUGGGCGUAAAGGGAGCGCAGGCGGUCAGGAAAGUCUGGAGUAAAAGGCUAUGGCUCAACCAUAGUGUGCUCUGGAAACUGUCUGACUUGAGUGCAGAAGGGGAGAGUGGAAUUCCAUGUGUAGCGGUGAAAUGCGUAGAUAUAUGGAGGAACACCAGUGGCGAAAGCGGCUCUCUGGUCUGUCACUGACGCUGAGGCUCGAAAGCGUGGGUAGCGAACAGGAUUAGAUACCCUGGUAGUCCACGCCGUAAACGAUGAGUGCUAGGUGUUAGGCCCUUUCCGGGGCUUAGUGCCGGAGCUAACGCAAUAAGCACUCCGCCUGGGGAGUACGACCGCAAGGUUGAAACUCAAAGGAAUUGACGGGGGCCCGCACAAGCGGUGGAGCAUGUGGUUUAAUUCGAAGCAACGCGAAGAACCUUACCAGGUCUUGACAUCCCGAUGCUAUUCUUAGAGAUAGGAAGUUACUUCGGUACAUCGGAGACAGGUGGUGCAUGGUUGUCGUCAGCUCGUGUCGUGAGAUGUU